rnacentral:rRNA from 1 species
GUCCACGCCGUAAACGAUGAUUACUAGGUGUAGGGGUAUCGACUCCCUCUGUGCCACAGUUAACGCAGUAAGUAAUUCACCUGGGGAGUACGGCCGCAAGGUUAAACUCAAAUGAAUUGACGGGGCCCGCACAAGCGGUGGAGCAUGUGGUUUAAUUCGAUGCAACGCGAAGAACCUUACCUGGCCUUGACAUGUCUGGAAUCCUGUAGAGAUACGGGAGUGCCUUCGGGAAUCAGAACACAGGUGCUGCAUGGCUGUCGU